CGAACUUCCGUUAAUUGAUUAUGACGUACUUGUACUGAUUGAGAUUUUAACACGAAGUGAGUGGCGAACGGGUGAGUAACACGUGGGUAACCUGCCCAGAAGUAGGGGAUAACACCUGGAAACAGAUGCUAAUACCGUAUAACAGAGAAAACCGCAUGGUUUUCUUUUAAAAGAUGGCUCUGCUAUCACUUCUGGAUGGACCCGCGGCGUAUUAGCUAGUUGGUGAGGUAAAGGCUCACCAAGGCAGUGAUACGUAGCCGACCUGAGAGGGUAAUCGGCCACAUUGGGACUGAGACACGGCCCAGACUCCUACGGGAGGCAGCAGUAGGGAAUCUUCCACAAUGGACGCAAGUCUGAUGGAGCAACGCCGCGUGAGUGAAGAAGGGUUUCGGCUCGUAAAGCUCUGUUGUUAAAGAAGAACGUGGGUAAGAGUAACUGUUUACCCAGUGACGGUAUUUAACCAGAAAGCCACGGCUAACUACGUGCCAGCAGCCGCGGUAAUACGUAGGUGGCAAGCGUUAUCCGGAUUUAUUGGGCGUAAAGCGAGCGCAGGCGGUCUUUUAAGUCUAAUGUGAAAGCCUUCGGCUCAACCGAAGAAGUGCAUUGGAAACUGGGAGACUUGAGUGCAGAAGAGGACAGUGGAACUCCAUGUGUAGCGGUGAAAUGCGUAGAUAUAUGGAAGAACACCAGUGGCGAAGGCGGCUGUCUGGUCUGCAACUGACGCUGAGGCUCGAAAGCAUGGGUAGCGAACAGGAUUAGAUACCCUGGUAGUCCAUGCCGUAAACGAUGAUUACUAAGUGUUGGAGGGUUUCCGCCCUUCAGUGCUGCAGCUAACGCAUUAAGUAAUCCGCCUGGGGAGUACG
rnacentral:rRNA from 1 species